UACAUGACCAUUAACUCUAUUUAAAACCCUAACUGCUGCAGUGUACAAUAUACCCACUCAAAAUUGUACAAGUGGAUAAAGCAUCCACGGCAAUCGUGCAUAUAUUUAUUUCAAUAACUAUUUUAUCACAUGGCGAAACCCAAAAAAGGAUACUGCUACGAAAGUUUUAAAUUAGAAAAACCCACAACCAAAAUCUAGGCUGCAACAUCGUAGUUUUAUGUAUCUCCAAAUGCAAUAUGACUACAACAAGACCACAUCCAACGUAUUUGAUUACAAUUUUCAACAUAAUUGCAACGCAACCAUUACAAUGUUUAAAUCCCUAACCGCUACAAUGUAGAAUAUAAAAAAAUAUAAAUUGCACUUAGAACCUAUAAAUAAAGUUGACGAAGCAUAGGCACAGAAUUCGCAGGACAACCUAGGAUCCGCAGAUUGGUAUUCAUGUACCGGUAUCGGUACUUAUGCGAAUUAGUUCACCAGAAUUCUUCAAGAAUUUGCAUGAAACAAAGUACCAGCAAACCAUUUUGAAUGAACAAAUAUAUGCCCCGGUAAAAUUUAUAGAUAUACAUCUAAACUAAUUAACUGACUUUGGUGUGUGCAUCACAGGUCCCACCAGUUCAAAGCUAUCCAAUGCAUAUUAAAGGCUGGUCGUACAACGUUUAUUCAUAAUGAGGUCCCACCAGUUCAAAGCUAUCCAAUGCAUAUUAAAGGCUGGUCGUACAACGUUUAUUCAUAAUGAGGUCCCACCAGUUCAAAGCUAUCCAAUGCAUAUUAAAGGCUGGUCGUACAACGUUUAUUCAUAAUGAGGUCCCACCAGUUCAAAGCUAUCCAAUGCAUAUUAAAGGCUGGUCGUACAACGUUUAUUCAUAAUGAAAUCUGCCUCUCAAAAAGAGCUAAAUUUUCAAUGUUGGACUACUGACUAACAUAUAUCUAUAUAUGACAAACCAUACUUGUUAUAUCUCUAUGUUAGCUAUAAUUUCCGAUGUGGGCUGCUAAUUUGUACUCACAGCCUACCAGCGUACGACAAACCUAAAUAGCUUUUCCGAAUUCUAUAAAAGUUCCAGACCGCAUACCCGAAUCCAUACCACAUACAUAAGCAAAUUACAAAUUGUAUGACUAUGUGUGAAGCAUCAAGUAUA
rnacentral:lncRNA from 1 species